rnacentral:misc_RNA from 1 species
GAUGAAGAACGUAGCGAAAUGCGAUAAGUAAUGUGAAUUGCAGAAUUCAGUGAAUCAUCGAAUCUUUGAACGCACCUUGCGCCCUUUGGCUAUUCCGAAGGGCAUGCCUGUUUGAGUAUCAUGAACACCUCAACUCUCAUGGUUUGCCAUGAUGAGCUUGGACUUUGGGGGUCUUGCUGGCCUACGGUCAGCUCCUCUCAAAUGAAUCAGCUUGCCAGUGUUUGGUAGAGUCGCAGGUGUGAUAACUAUCUACGCUUGUGGUUUUCUGCCAGAUAACCUUCAGUGAUGGAGGUUCGCUGGAGCUUAUAAAUGUCUCUCCCCAGUGAGGACAGCUUUUUGAACGUUUGAUCUCAAAUCAGGUAGGACUACCCGCUGAACUUAAGCAUAUCAAUAAGCGGAGGA